CACGUAGGGGGCAAGCGUUGUCCGGAUUUAUUGGGCGUAAAGAGCUCGUAGGCGGCUCGGUAAGUCGGGUGUGAAACCUCCAGGCUCAACCUGGAGACGCCACCUGAUACUGCUGUGGCUAGAGUCCGGUAGGGGAGUGUGGAACUCCUGGUGUAGCGGUGAAAUGCGCAGAUAUCAGGAAGAACACCAGCGGCGAAGGCGGCACUCUGGGCCGGAACUGACGCUGAGGAGCGAAAGCGUGGGGAGCAAACAGG
rnacentral:rRNA from 1 species